GACGAACGCUGGCGGCGUGCCUAAUACAUGCAAGUAGAACGCUGAAGCGAGGAGCUUGCUCUUCUUGGAUGAGUUGCGAACGGGUGAGUAACGCGUAGGUAACCUGCCUUGUAGCGGGGGAUAACUAUUGGAAACGAUAGCUAAUACCGCAUAACAAUGGAUGACCCAUGUCAUUUAUUUGAAAGGGGCAAAUGCUCCACUACAAGAUGGACCUGCGUUGUAUUAGCUAGUAGGUGAGGUAACGGCUCACCUAGGCGACGAUACAUAGCCGGCCUGAGAGGGUGAUCGGCCACACUGGGACUGAGACACGGCCCAGACUCCUACGGGAGGCAGCAGUAGGGAAUCUUCGGCAAUGGGGGCAACCCUGACCGAGCAACGCCGCGUGAGUGAAGAAGGUGUUCGGAUCGUAAAGCUCUGUUGUAAGUCAAGAACGAGUGUGAGAGUGGAAAGUUCACACUGUGACGGUAGCGUACCAGAAAGGGACGGCUAACUACGU
rnacentral:rRNA from 1 species